rnacentral:rRNA from 1 species
CUUCGGGGUGGAUUAUUGGCGAACGGGUGAGUAACACGUGGGCAAUCUGCCCUUCACUCUGGGACAAGCCCUGGAAACGGGGUCUAAUACCGGAUAACACUCCUACAGGCAUCUGUGGGGGUUAAAAGCUCCGGCGGUGAAGGAUGAGCCCGCGGCCUAUCAGCUUGUUGGUGAGGUAGUGGCUCACCAAGGCGACGACGGGUAGCCGGCCUGAGAGGGCGACCGGCCACACUGGGACUGAGACACGGCCCAGACUCCUACGGGAGGCAGCAGUGGGGAAUAUUGCACAAUGGGCGAAAGCCUGAUGCAGCGACGCCGCGUGAGGGAUGACGGCCUUCGGGUUGUAAACCUCUUUCAGCAGGGAAGAAGCGAAAGUGACGGUACCUGCAGAAGAAGCGCCGGCUAACUACGUGCCAGCAGCCGCGGUAAUACGUAGGGCGCAAGCGUUGUCCGGAAUUAUUGGGCGUAAAGAGCUCGUAGGCGGCUUGUCACGUCGGGUGUGAAAGCCCGGGGCUUAACCCCGGGUCUGCAUUCGAUACGGGCUAGCUAGAGUGUGGUAGGGGAGAUCGGAAUUCCUGGUGUAGCGGUGAAAUGCGCAGAUAUCAGGAGGAACACCGGUGGCGAAGGCGGAUCUCUGGGCCAUUACUGACGCUGAGGAGCGAAAGCGUGGGGAGCGAACAGGAUUAGAU